rnacentral:rRNA from 1 species
AUGGAAGGCCUUCUGCAUUGGGACUUUGCCCCGGGUUUGGCAUUGGCAGACCAGGUGAGAAGAAGAUUUGGGUCUACAGUUCAUUUCUCUCCCUCCCGAGACACCAAGGAGUUCUUUCUAGUGGUCUCCUUUUUGUCGGCAUCAUUUCCCCUCACAACUGAUUCUGUGGGGGUUGCCCUUCAAUGCUGUCUUGGAGGGCUAUGCUCGGGCUUCAAUGUGAUUUCACUCAACCCUCGAUCGUUUCGUUUUUCUGUGUCCAACAACAAAGUGGGACAUUUCAUCUAUGGGCUUAAAGAUCGUGUUUGGCCUAACUUUGUGUGUCAUUUCCACCUGUUCAAUGGUCGUUUUGCUAAGUUCUACUCUGAUUCCCAUUGGCAUGCUAAUCAAGAGUUGGGUGAUAUUUGGGAUCGUAAAACUAUAGCUUUAUCAUCAUCUUUGGAUUUCUUAAAGAAGGAUCAGUCUAUGGAUCUUCAUCUAUUAUGGAGCUGA